rfam:Pongo abelii chromosome 7.
AGGGGUAUAGCUGAGGGGUAGACCAUUUGGCUGCAGAUCAAGUGGUCCCUGGUUCAAAUCUGGGUGCCUUCU